UCCUUUCAAAACGCAGCAACACCAGUGAACCAAAAGCCCUUUAAUGGCAAAACGACACCCCAACGUUUAUGUCGAGCCCCAGCUGGCAAAAAUCCAUUUCCGGAUAAAAUUCAAACAUCUUUUAUCGUCUCCAGCAUAUGUUCGGCCAUUUAUGGAGUUUGACCAUUAGCUUAAGCAUAAACAUCUUUCAAACGGCUCUUGGGAGCCAAAAUCUCAGUUCGUGACCCUCUAUCUCAUCCCUUUCCUCUUCCAAACAAGAAACCAUUUUGUUUUCAGCCAUGACAGAUUUUUGCCUUGCCAUUUUAUAUACGAUCUGGUCAACAAAUGGCCAAAAACUUUUGAAAUUUCUGAAAAGGAGACCAACUUUAAAGAUCUGAUUCGGAUUUCAAACGGAUAUCACUCCAGAUCCCGCCCAAAAACAAGUGGAAAACCCUAGGGUUUGUCUACUAUAUAUACACGGCCUUAAGUCCAAGCAGAGGGGAUAGAACAUCUGCGCAUAUUUUUCAAAGUUUUUAUCUCCUAAGAUUACCCCCCUUGAAUCUCGGUUUAUGCUUUAGUCGUAAUAGAGAUUUAGAAUGCAUUUGGGUUUCGAGUCUUGAAUCUAAUCAUAACGAGAGAGUAGAUUCGACGCCGACGACCUCAGUUCACUGCACCCACAAUAGAGCCGAAGAGUCUCACUUUGAGACUCAACGACGCCGCUAUCACACGGAGCCCGUGCAUCCUCGGUCAUUUCCAGUUUUACAUCGCUCAAAGAGAAUUACAAAAUAAUCAAAUCUUUCUGUCGGGAGUUUAUUUUGGCUGAUUUAUUUAUUUGUUGAUGAUACUUGUUUACAUGUUUGGUGUGACUAACAUUCUACCUAGUUGUGUGGUUAUUAUAAAAUGCUUAAUUGCUUUAUUUUAA